AUACAGAGUUGGGUAAUACACUCUACGGUGGAGGCCGCGGGACUCUCACGUACUGCUGGUGAGAGUGUAAAUCGGCACAACCCCUGCAGAGAGAAACUGAGUGACAGUUACAAAACUACAAAUCCACAUGCCCUCUGACCAGUCAUUCAUCUCCUGGGAAUUUGUGCUGCCGAGCCACUUUUAAGAUGACAUGCGUCUGAGAUAAUUCAUGGCAGCUUUGCUGGUAAUGGCAAACACUUGGAAAGAAACCGAGAUGUACAUCAAGAAAGCAUGAGUUAAAUAAAGCACGGUAGAUCCAAACAACUACUAUGUGGCUAUAAAAAGGAAUGAGGACGUGCUCUGUGUACUGAUGGGGACAGAAGUUUCAGGACAUUUUGUAAGGUGACUGAAAAACAAGACAGAUGCUUCCAGAGUCAAUCACUGAGCAGUGGAUCUACGACAAACCAUCCCUUCUCUUCGGUCACUGAGCUGAGUAAACAGGUACAUUUGGUGCCAGGACUAGAAGGUCAACAAACUCCUGCUUUGUCAGAGGGACCUGGGACUCAAGUCAAGAGGACUUCGCGGAAAUGCCGUACUUCCCGCUCCACAGGUGUUUGAGCCUAAGGAUAAGGAGUAAAAGUGUCUCAGGGAAACUUGCCAAGAAGAUAUGCAGCAGACACCUGAUGCGAGGGUAAGGCCUGGAGCCCCCUGAAAAGUGAGGUUGAUCUCAGCCCUGGUUUGUGUAUUGAUGAUGGCAACUUCCCCUGGAAGGGCUACCACAGAUCCCCAAACUCACCUAUAGCAGGAUACUUUGAAGAUGACCCCAAGAUUCCUAGGCCUUGGUGUUCAAGCCCUGUGUAACUCUCCCAUGCUCAAGGGUGGGUAGGACCUAUGAACACGAUGGAAUUCCUCUCCUGAGAUUACAGGGCAAAGGGGAAGGGAUUUCACACAUGUCAGUAAAGUCCCUGAUCAGCUGCCUUUGUUUUGGGAAACUAUCCCAUAUCCACCUGACUUCAUCAGUUGACUUUAAGUUAAUCAAAAUGGGGACUAUCCUGGGAUAGUCCUCUCAUCAUGUGAGCCUUUGAAAGAAUGUCUAGAAGUCAGACACGGAGAAAGUUGGAAAGAUUUGAGGCAGCAGAGACAUUCUCCCAUCGGCCCUGAAGAAGCAAACUGCCAUGUUAUGAAGAAGGCUGUGUGGCCAGGGAGUGGUCUCUCAGAGCUGAGGCCCUCAGCCCUACA
rnacentral:lncRNA from 1 species